UUGGGGUUGCGGACAUAUCAUAACGAAGAGGUAUCGUAAUUGAAGAGGUUUGGAAAGACCCACCACAGAAGGUAAUAGUCCUGUAUGUUAAACGAGAAGACUUUAGAUAUGAUCCAGAGUACCACGGGACACGUGAAACCCUGUGGGAAGCAGGAGGGACCACCCUCCAAGGCUAAAUACUACCUAGUGACCGAUAGCGUAUAGUACCGUGAGGGACAGGUGAAAAGAACCCCGGGAGGGGAGUGAAAUAGAACCUGAAACCCUGCACUUACAAGCUGUGGAAGCACAUUUCUUGUGUGACCGCGUACUUUUUGUAGAACGGGCCAACGAGUUACGUUAAGUAGCAAGGUUAAGCACUUAAGGU
rnacentral:rRNA from 1 species